rnacentral:rRNA from 1 species
AUUGAACGCUGGCGGCAUGCUUUACACAUGCAAGUCGAACGGUAACAGGCCUCCGGGUGCUGACGAGUGGCGAACGGGGGAGUAAUGCACCGGAACGUGCCCAGAGGUGGGGGAUAACGCAGCGAAAGCUGGGCUAAUACCGCAUGUGAUCUGAGGAUGAAAGCGGGGGACCAGGCCGCAAUGUUUGGCCUCGCGUCUUUGGAGCGGCCGAUGUCGGAUUAGGUAGGUGGUGGGGUAAAGGCCCACCAAGCCGACGAUCUGUAGCUGGUCUGAGAGGACGACCAGCCACACUGGAACUGAGACACGGCCCAGACUCCUACGGGAGGCAGCAGUGGGGAAUUUUGGACAAUGGGCGAAAGCCUGAUCCAGCAAUGCCGCGUGCGGGAAGAAGGCCUUCGGGUUGUAAACCGCUUUUGUACGGGACGAAAAGGAUCUGGCUAAUACCUUGGGCUGAUGACGGUACCGACAGAAUAAGCACCGGCUAACUACGUG